CGGGGUGUAGCGCAGCUUGGCUAGCGCGCUUGGUUCGGGACCAAGAGGUCGCGGGUUCAAAUCCCGCCGCCCCGACCA
rnacentral:tRNA from 1 species